rnacentral:tRNA from 1 species
AGGAUUGUAGUUAACUAUAAUAUUUGGUUUGCAUCCAAAAGGUGUUGGUCUCCAACCUAUCUUA